rnacentral:rRNA from 1 species
GGUUGAUCCUGCCAGUAGUCAUAUGCUUGUCCCAAAGAUUAAGCCAUGCAUGUCUAAGUAUAAAUCGUUAUACGGUGAAACUGCGAAUGGCUCAUUAAAUCAGUUAUAAUUUAUUUGAUGGUUUCUUUACUACUUGGAUAACCGUGGUAAUUCUAGAGCUAAUACAUGCGAAAAGCCCGACUCACGAAGGGCUGUAUUUAUUAGAUCAAAAACCAAUGCCUUUGGGCUUACUGGUGAUUCAUAAUAACUCUGCGGAUCGUAU